UGGCAUAAACCCGUAGAUCCGAUCUUGUGGUGAAAUACUGUGCACAAGCUCGUUUCUAUGGGUCAGUGUCAG
rfam:Ophiophagus hannah scaffold64.1, whole genome shotgun sequence.